rnacentral:tRNA from 1 species
UAGAAUAGAGUGUAAUAGGUAGCACGGAGAAAUUUGAAUUCUCAGGGGUAGGUUCAAUGCCUAUGAUUCUAG